rnacentral:rRNA from 1 species
GGCUAACGCUGGCGGCGUGUCUUAGCCAUGCAAGUCGAGCGGACUUAUGGGGUAACUUAUAAGUCAGCGGCGAACGGGUGAGUAACACGUGAGUAGCUGUCCUAAGGAGGGGGAUAACGCCUGGAAACGGGUGCUAAUACCCCAUAUGCCUCGCAAGAGGUAAAAGUGUACUUGCUACAGCCUUAGGGUGUGCUCGCGGCCUAUCAGCUAGUUGGUGAGGUAACGGCUCACCAAGGCCAAGACGGGUAGCCGGCCUGAGAGGGUGUACGGCCACACUGGAAUUGAGAUACGGUCCAGACUCCUACGGGAGGCAGCAGUGGGGAAUCUUGGGCAAUGGGCGAAAGCCUGACCCAGCGACGCCGCGUUGGGGAUGAAGCCCUUCGGGGCGUAAACCCAUGUUGUAGGGGACGAAGAAAGUGACGGUACCCUACGAGAAAGCCCCGGCCAACUACGUG